CCAAUAGCGUAUAUUAAAGUUGCUGCAGUUAAAAAGCUCGUAGUUGAAUUUCGAGACCGGUCUACUGGUCGUGCUUUCGUACGUACUGGUUUUAUCGGUUUCUCCUUUCUGACGACCUAUAAUGCCAUUAAUUUGGUGUUAUAGGGAAUCAGGACUGUUACUUUGAAAAAAUUAGAGUGUUUAAAGCAGGCUCACGCUUGAAUACAUUAGCAUGGAAUAACGGAAUAGGACGUUUGAUUCUAUUUUGUUGGUUUCUAGGAUCGACGUAAUGAUUAAUAGGGAUAGUUGGGGGCAUUAGUAUUCAAUUGUCAGAGGUGAAAUUCUUGGAUUUAUUGAAGACUAACUACUGCGAAAGCAUUUGCCAAGGAUGUUUUCAUUAAUCAAGAACGAAAGUUAGGGGAUCGAAGACGAUCGGAUACCGUCGUAGUCUUAACCAUAAACUAUGCCGACUAGGGAUCGGAUGAUGUUAAUUUUUUUAAUGACUCAUUCGGCGCCUUACG
rnacentral:rRNA from 1 species